ACUCCUACGGGUGGCGGCAGUGGGGAAUAUUGCGCAAUGGGGGGAACCCUGACGCAGCCAUGCCGCGUGAAUGAAGAAGGCCUUCGGGUUGUAAAGUUCUUUCGGUAUUGAGGAAGGUUGAUGUGUUAAUAGCACAUCAGAUUGACGUUAAAUACAGAAGAAGCACCGGCUAACUCCGUGCCAGCAGCCGCGGUAAUACGGAGGGUGCGAGCGUUAAUCGGAAUAACUGGGCGUAAAGGGCACGCAGGCGGUUAUUUAAGUGAGGUGUGAAAGCCCUGGGCUUAACCUAGGAAUUGCAUUUCAGACUGGGUAACUAGAGUACUUUAGGGAGGGGUAGAAUUCCACGUGUAGCGGUGAAAUGCGUAGAGAUGUGGAGGAAUACCGAAGGCGAAGGCAGCCCCUUGGGAAUGUACUGACGCUCAUGUGCGAAAGCGUGGGGAGCAAACAGGAUUAGAUACCCUGGUAGUCCACGCUGUAAACGCUGUCGAUUUGGGGGUUGGGGUUUAACUCUGGCGCCCGUAGCUAACGUGAUAAAUCGACCGCCUGGGGAGUACGGCCGCAAGGUUAAAACUCAAAUGAAUUGACGGGGGCCCGCACAAGCGGUGGAGCAUGUGGUUUAAUUCGAUGCAACGCGAAGAACCUUACCUACCCUUGACAUCCUAAGAAGAGCUCAGAGAUAAGCUUGUGCCUUCGGGAACUUAGAGACAGGUGAUGCAUGGAUGUCGUCAGCUCGUG
rnacentral:rRNA from 1 species